rnacentral:rRNA from 1 species
GGCGAGUGAAGCGGCAUGAGCUCAAAUUUGAAAUCUGGCGUCUCCGACGUCCCGAGUUGUAAUUUGGAGAGGCAUUUUCCGGGCCAGCGCCAGACCAUGUUCCUUGGAACAGGACGCCACAGAGGGUGAGAGCCCCGUGCAUGCCUGGCUGCCUGGACCCUUGCGAAGUGUCUUCGACGAGUCGAGUUGUUUGGGAAUGCAGCUCCAAGUGGGUGGUAAAUUUCAUCUAAAGCUAAAUACCGGCGAGAGACCGAUAGCGCACAAGUAGAGUGAUCGAAAGAUGAAAAGCACUUUGAAAAUAGAGUUAAAAAGUACGUGAAAUUGUUGAAAGGGAAGCGCUUGAGAUCAGACUCAGCCCCUGGCAAACAGCCUGCCCGAGCCAUCGGCGGUGCACUUGCCUGGGGCCGGGCCAGCAUCGGUUGGAGUGGCGGGACAAAGGUGUCAGGAACGUGGCUCCCCUUGGGGAGCGUUAUAGCCUGGCGCGCAAUGCCGCCAACUCCGACCGAGGGCCGC